UACGUAGGGCGCAAGCGUUGUCCGGAAUUAUUGGGCGUAAAGAGCUCGUAGGCGGUUUGUUGCGUCGGCCGUGAAAACUCAGGGCUUAACUCUGAGCCUGCGGUCGAUACGGGCAGACUUGAGUUCGGUAGGGGAGACUGGAAUUCCUGGUGUAGCGGUGAAAUGCGCAGAUAUCAGGAGGAACACCGGUGGCGAAGGCGGGUCUCUGGGCCGAUACUGACGCUGAGGAGCGAAAGCGUGGGGAGCGAACAGG
rnacentral:rRNA from 1 species